GCCGGAAAAGAGCUUAACCCGUGAUUGCUGGGGCCGGUUGUUGCUCCUCCAGGGGCCGUCGUUCUUUUACAAAGAGGGGUGGAGGUUGUUGUUCCUUUUUUUUUUCUUCUUUUUAAUGAAUGGAGGGCGGCGGCGACAGCUGCAGCUGGCUCAGCUGCGUGGGUUGUACCCUCCUCCCAGCCUGCAAGAGGAGGCUCCCUUUAGCGAUUCUUAACAUAGUCCAUGGCCAUUACAACAUCAAAGAGUCCUGAGCCAAAUGCUCUUCGACAGGAAACUGGAAUGUCUCUGACCAAAAGUGCUGACUAUGAAGGCAUCCCGAGCUUUUCCACCUGCCUGGCAGAAAAUCUACAGGGGCCAUCUCUGCUGUGCUGCCCAGACAAAGUACCAGGCUGGCCUUCCUGUGUGUUGCCGCUGGCCAAGGGGUCAGCUCCCUCACCAUCUUGGCCCACUCCCUUCCUCUCCUGGCUUCAGAUUUGCCUCUGUCCAUAGGUCUGAACCAUUCUCUGUCUCUCUCCACUGUUCCCCUGUUCACUGUAACAGUGUCCUUCUGGCUGGUGCUGCUAGCUACCAGUCAUUGUAAGAAAAUUGUACAGUUUUAUCCGAUUUUUCUGCACCAUCUGCUCCAAGAUCUCCACAGGCUUAGGGCUUUCCCCCCAAGUCCCUCCUUCUAAUGAGUGCCCAUAUCUAGAAGAACGAAUUAACUCUGGGCAAGUGACAGAUGUGUACUAUGGAAAAUACAGUCAGUCAGCUAUCAACCCGGUCGGUCUGUGACCAUUUAUGUCACCUCAGCAGGGUGAAGAGCCUAGCUCGCUGCUAUGCAAAAUAAUAGCCUGACUUGCAAGACUUGGCCGCCCUGUAUCAGACAAAGGCCUGCAAAGAGUUUGAAGUAAAGAAGUUAGUAAUAGUAGCGGAAGCAAGAAUGCACGGCCGGGAUGGAUGCCCACGUGAAGGCGCGGACGCGAUGCACCAUGGGAAGCCGAGUUUCCUCUGCCUUGAGAAUCGGCGCAGUCCUGAGCAAAUGUGCAUGGUGCAAUUAGAGGGACACUUUGAUGGGGACAAAGCUGCUUGUGGAAGACGCAAAGCCUGCUCACUCCAGCCCUGACUGAGAAUGUAUUUCUUCUUGGCCUUCUGAUGCUCACAUUAGGCUGACCUCGAGCUCAUGGAGAGCCACCUACCUCUUUCUCCCGAGUGCUGGGAUUUAAGGUGUGCUUCACCUUUGCGCAGUUUCAUCUUCUCAUCUUAGGGAGCAAGAAACUGAAGCGUAAGGACUCUCGGAGUAGCCUAGAACCCUCAGGUGGAAACAGUAUGGCCAGCCUGUGAGAGGUGUCAUCUGUUGUACAAGUGACUUUUCCACGUGCUUGAUUUCACAUCAUUGAAUUUGGGCACUGGGAUACAUUAUGGAUGGGGAGA